rnacentral:rRNA from 1 species
UACGUAGGGUGCAAGCGUUACUCGGAAUUACUGGGCGUAAAGCGUGCGUAGGCGGUUCGUUAAGUCUGAUGUGAGAGCCCUGGGCUCAACCUGGGAAUGGCAUUGGAAACUGGCGACCUAGAGUGCGGUAGAGGGUAGUGGAAUUCCCGGUGUAGCAGUGAAAUGCGUAGAGAUCGGGAGGAACAUCUGUGGCGAAGGCGACUGCCUGGACCAGCACUGACACUGAGGCACGAAAGCGUGGGGAGCAAACAGG